GAUGAAGAACGCAGCGAAAUGCGAUAAGUAAUGUGAAUUGCAGAAUUCAGUGAAUCAUCGAGUCUUUGAACGCACAUUGCGCCCCCUGGUAUUCCGGGGGGCAUGCCUGUCCGAGCGUCAUUGCUGCCCUCAAGCACGGCUUGUGUGUUGGGCCCCCGUCCCCGGUUCUCCCCGGGGACGGGCCCGAAAGGCAGCGGCGGCACCGCGUCCGAUCCUCGAGCGUAUGGGGCUUUGUCACCCGCUCUGUAGGCCCGGCCGGCGCCAGCCGACACCCCAACUUUAUUUUCUAAGGUUGACCUCGGAUCAGGUAGGGAUACCCGCUGAACUUAAGCAUAUCAAUAAGCGGAGA
rnacentral:misc_RNA from 1 species